rnacentral:misc_RNA from 1 species
CGACAAAUUUGAUUAUGCUUGGAAUAAAGGUAGUAAUGGUGUACGUCGCCACAAUGCUGUCCUCCGCAAGCUUGAUGGCAUUUCAAGAAAAACUCAUCUUCCUGCUUUCAUCAGGAAGCUUCAAUUGUCCCUUGAGAAACAAAAGGGGGUCAGAAUCAAAGCGUGUGAGCCCCUUUUAUUGGAGAAUGGAUCUGGUUUUCAUGAUAGCUUCAAAAGCACCAACUUCCUUCCCCAAAUUUUGAAAUUUGGGCGAUCACAGCCUAGGAUAGUUUCAGUUAAUGUUGGUGUAAAUGGUGAUCCAAAUAUUAUUUGUGGUGUGGCUUUAGGUCAUGGAUCUGUUUGUAUAAGGCCUCCAAAAACAGGAAAUAAAAGAUGUGCUGAGCACAAGGGAAUGAAGGUAAACAGUGUAAAGUCAAAGUUGAUUGCAGAAGGAAAUGGGAGCACAAGGCCAUGUGUGAGUAUAGAUGAGGAAAAUUCUCCAAUUUGUGGUUUUAUCUUGGAUAGUGGUGCCUCUUGUGCAAGAAUACCAUUCCAGAGAAACAAAAGGUGUAUGGAGCACAAGGGACGGAGAAAUCGAGGCUCCAAUUCUCAGCCAACGACAUACAAAAUUGGCCAGUGGACUCACAAUCCUAUACUGGAAAACAGGACUUCUUCUAGUAAUGAUUGUCAGCAUAUCUUAUCUAGCAAAGCGGGUAGACAAGACUCUCAAGAUUUCUCCAGUUCUCUUAUCCACCAGAACUACAAUGUCAUAUGUGGAGUUCAUUUAAAUG